AUUGAACGCUGGCGGCGUGCUUAACACAUGCAAGUCGAACGAAGUGGCGAACGGGUGAGUAACGCGUAAUCAACCUGCCCUUCAGAGGGGGACAACAGUUGGAAACGACUGCUAAUACCGCAUACUGAAGGAGGGGAUGGCGUCUGAUUAGCUAGUUGGAGGGGUAACGGCCCACCAAGGCGAUGAUCAGGAGCCGGUCUGGGAGGAUGACCGGCCACAUUGGGACUGAGACACGGCCCAGACUCCUACGGGAGGCAGCAGUGGGGAAUCUUCCGCAAUGGACGAAAGUCUGACGGAGCAACGCCGCGUGAGUGAUGACGGCCUUCGGGUUGUAAAGCUCUGUUAAUCGGGACGCGGUACCGGAAUAGAAAGCCACGGCUAACUACGUGCCAGCAGCCGCGGUAAUUC
rnacentral:rRNA from 1 species